rnacentral:lncRNA from 1 species
GGGGUUGGCCCGGGUGGCUCCGAUGCCCCAGAGGAGAAACUGUAAGGGCAGGGGAAAGAGGGAAGAAUAUUGCAGAGCAACACAUGCACAGGGCCAGCAGGAUAGAGGCUGAGCCUCGGAGGGGACUGGAGCUUGGAGAGAGCAGGCUAGUGGUUUCCCUAUUGAUAGAAUAUCAGAAUAAUGAGACUCCAUCUCAAAAAAAAAAAGAAAGAAAGAAUAAAUUUUCAUUUCAAAUUUAGUUCCUCGGGCACACUGGCCAUAGUUCAAGUGCUCAGUAGCCACAUAUGGCUGGUGACUGCCAUAUUCGACAGCACAGCUAUAGAACAUUGCCAUCAUAACAGAGAUUUCUGUUACAAAAUGCUGUUCUAGAAUUUACUUUUGAACUCUACCUGCUCAGAUCUUUUAAAUUACAUGGUAGGCCAGGCAUGGUGGCUCACGCCUGUGAUCCCAGCACUUUCGGAGGCCCAGUCGGGAGGAUCCCUUGAGCCCAGAAGCUGGAGACCUGCCUGGGCAACAGAGCAAGACCCCAUCUCUACAAAAAUAAAAAAAAGAAAAUUAGCCUGGUUUGGUGGCACAUGCCUGUAGUGCCAGCUACUAGGGAGACUGAAGUGGGAGGAUUGCUUCAGCCUGGGAGGUUGAGGCUGCAGUGAGCCGUGAUCUCAUCACUGCACUCUAGCCUAGGUGACGGAGCGGGACCCUGCCGCUAAAUAAAUAAAUAAAUAAAUAACAUAGUAGUGAUACCUGUGUCUGCGGUCAUUACUCCAGAACAGCACUUCACAUAUAGUUUCUCCUUUAAGGUCAUUCUCACAACAGCCCAGGGAGAUAGGGUGGCAUGCUUCAUUUUAUAAGCUGAGGUCCUGGGAGGGGAGGUCAUUUACCCAAGAUCACACAGCAAGAACACCAGACAGCUGGAAUUUGAUCCCAGUUUUGACUCCAAUGCUCUUGCUCUUCAUCAUCAAUAAUUUCCUUCAAGGCGUCCCUCAAAUGUCACUUCCUCCAGGAAGCCCUCCCUGAUUUAUGCUCCUUCCAGAAAGAAUGGGCUCUUCCUUUCUCUGAGUCUCUGGAACACAAGGUCCCAGCUAAACUGUAAAUUCCCCAAGGGUAACAACUGG